UCUUCCUUAUUAGUGCGUUUAACACUAAAAACUCAAAUAUAAGUCAGGGGGCAAUACAUUCAUGCAUUGACUAUGGACUCUAGAAUGAUCUUAUUAGUUGUUUGUUUCCUUGCUUUCUUUUCAAAAUCUUUAUCUAUUCAACAAGAAUCGACAGUAAGACAAAUGGCAGGACUAAGAGAUGAAGUUCGCAAUCUUACUCAAAAACUACAGAAACUGAACGCAACUUUCCAGAAAGAGAAAACAGGCCACACCAUGUUUUAUGCUAUCAUGAAAGAAAAGACAUUAACUUACAACAUCGACACCAUAUUGGUUUUUGAAACAGUUAUCGUGAACGUAGGAGGAUUAUAUGAUAAGUACGAUGGAGUGUUCGUUGCACCUUGGAAAGGAACGUACAUGUUCUCCUGGACAGUUUCAGGAAAUGGUGGUAGCUGGAUCGUAACGGAACUUGUAGUAGAAAGUCAAAUUAUUUCUACGGCUGGAGUACAGAACGCUGCCGGAGGUUAUCCUUCAGGAUCAAUGACGGCUUUGUGUAGAAUGGAAAUGGGAGAUCAUGCAUGGAUCCGCUCGACCGGACAAUCGACUAGCCAUGGCAUUUAUAGCCAUGAUAAUUAUCCUCAGUCAUCAUUUCUUGGACUUCUCAUACAUGCAGAGUGAAACAGUACUCGUGAUUUUGUCAUUCUUUCUUUAGAUUUAUUAAAAACGUGUAUCAUUAAA